rnacentral:rRNA from 1 species
CCUGAUGCAGCCAUGCCGCGUGUGUGAAGAAGGCCUUCGGGUUGUAAAUCMCUUUCAGCGGGGAGGAAGGCGGUGAGGUUAAUAACCUCACCGAUUGACGUUACCCGCAGAAGAAGCACCGGCUAACUCCGAGCCAGCAGCCGCGGUAAUACGGAGGGUGCAAGCGUUAAUCGGAAUUACUGGGCGUAAAGCGCACGCAGGCGGUCUGUCAAGUCAGGAUGUGAAAUCCCCGGGCUCACCUGGGAACUGCAUUCGAAACUGGCAGGCUAGAGUCUUGUAGAGGGGGGGUAGAAUUCCAGGUGUAGCGGUGAAUUGCGUAGAGAUCUGGAGGAAUACCGGUGGCGAAGGCGGCCCCCCUGGACAAAGACUGACGCUCAGGUGCGAAAGCGUGGGGAGCAAACAGGAUUAGAUACCCCUGGUAGUCCACGCUGUAAACGAUGUCGAUUUGGAGGUUGUGCCCUUGAGGCGUGGCUUCCGGAGCUAACGCGUUAAAUC